UGGGGAAUAUUGCACAAUGGGGGAAACCCUGAUGCAGCGACGCCGCGUGGAGGAAGAAGGUCUUCGGAUUGUAAACUCCUGUUGUUGAGGAAGAUAAUGACGGUACUCAACAAGGAAGUGACGGCUAACUACGUGCCAGCAGCCGCGGUAAAACGUAGGUCACAAGCGUUGUCCGGAAUUACUGGGUGUAAAGGGAGCGCAGGCGGGAAGACAAGUUGGAAGUGAAAUCCAUGGGCUCAACCCAUGAACUGCUUUCAAAACUGUUUUUCUUGAGUAGUGCAGAGGUAGGCGGAAUUCCCGGUGUAGCGGUGGAAUGCGUAGAUAUCGGGAGGAACACCAGUGGCGAAGGCGGCCUACUGGGCACCAACUGACGCUGAGGCUCGAAAGUGUGGGUAGCAAACAGGAUUAGAUACCCUGGUAGUCCACACCGUAAACGAUGAUUACUAGGUGUUGGAGGAUUGACCCCUUCAGUGCCGCAGUUAACACAAUAAGUAAUCCACCUGGGGAGUACGACCGCAAGGUUGAAACUCAAAGGAAUUGACGGGGGCCCGCACAAGCAGUGGAGUAUGUGGUUUAAUUCGACGCAACGCGAAGAACCUUACCAAGUCUUGACAUCCUGCGACGGUGCUGGAAACAGUACUUUCCUUCGGGACGCAGAGACAGGUGGUGCAUGGUUGUCGUCAGCUCGUGUCGUGAGAUGUUGGGUUAAGUCCCGCAACGAGCGCAACCCUUAUGGUCAGUUACUACGCAAGAGGACUCUGGCCAGACUGCCGUUGACAAAACGGAGGAAGGUGGGGAUGACGUCAAAUCAUCAUGCCCUUUAUGACUUGGGCUACACACGUACUACAAUGGCGUUAAACAAAGAGAAGCAAGACCGCGAGGUGGAGCAAAACUCAGAAACAACGUCCCAGUUCGGAUUGUAGUCUGCAACUCGACUACAUGAAGCUGGAAUCGCUAGUAAUCGCAGAUCAGAAUGCUGCGGUGAAUACGUUUCC
rnacentral:rRNA from 1 species